rnacentral:lncRNA from 1 species
CUAUGUUCAGGUUGCAGUGAUAUCCCUAGGCCACCUCAUGGCAACGACGAUUACACGAAGAGUGUUCUUAAAGGGGCAGAAUUGAGAAAUUAGUUUGAAUCCAGGCUCUUUCAAUAUAAAUGAGCAUGUAUUAUCACCAUUUUUGCCAAUUCAAGGAGCGGGAAACCCUUACGUUGUUCAUAUUGUUAGUGCUAUGAAGAUAUUUUAUAAAUAGAGGUUGAGCUUUUGAGUGGCGAUGGUAGCAAGCAGCGGCAUUUUGGUGGUUGUAUGUGUUUUGGUUUUAUAGGCGGAUACUGUGGGUAAUGAUAGUGGUAGCAGGCGGAGGCGUUUUGG